UCUAGCCUGUCCCAAUUGGGUGCUCUCCAGGUCAAUGAGAUCCUUACAAAAGUAAGGAGGAUGGGCCUGAAGAAUCAGCGCUGCAGGCAGAUCACUAACCUCCAUAAGCACCCACACACUCAUGGACACACGGUCAUGUGACAUGGGAAGAUGGGGUGACGCUAUGACAGUCUCUCACUCGUAUCAUGAUGUGACGAAGCUGGUAUUUACAGAGCACCCACAGUUGCUCAGACUUAAGUUGUAUCAAUUUUUUCUAAGGUUUCAUAUUUGUAAAGCAAGUACUUUACCACUGAGCUAUAUUUCUUUUAUUUAGUUAGAGUUCGUUUGUCUUGUUUUUGUUUUUUUAAUGCAGGAUCUAAAUUAUAAAUUACUAGGGCUCAUCUAAAACUAGAUCCUUUCACAUCAGCCUCCAAGCCCUGGGCUGACAGACAUGUACCACCAUAGAUAUCAGUUUUCAAAUACAAAGAGGAAGAAGCUACGUUUUUCACCAAGAAUCAACUAGGAAUCACCGUGUUUGGUUUCUUUUUUUUCUUUCUUUCUUUUUUUUUUUUUUUUUUUUGGUUCUUUUUUUCGGAGCUGGGGAUCGAACCCAGGGCCUUGUGCUUCCUAAGCAAGCACUCUACCACUGAGCUAAAUCCCCAAGCCCGUUUGGUUUCAUUUUAAUUACAAAUGGUUUGCCUCAGUUGAGGUUUUCAUUUGGUUUGGGUUUUGUGGGACUAGGUCUCUCUAUGUAGCUCUGCUUGGCCUCCAGUUCACAGAGAUCCACCUGUCUCAGCUUCCCGAGUUCUGGGAUUAAAGGUGAGUGCCACCACACUACAAGACAAGCUUCACGUGUGCUUUCCCUCCUUUGAUUGGAAAGCACAGCGUAGGGAACCACUGCCCCUUCGAAGCUGUCACACACCAGGUGAGUCGUGGGAGUCAAAGGUGAGAGCCAAACUCUUGACUGUAAGUUCCCCGGGAGCCAGCACUGUGGCUGCUUGUUACUUCACCUCCGGGGUUCUUACUGGAGCCUCUAGAAAGCAGUGAGUGCUGUGUUAUUACCUCUUCCCACUGUAAUUUUCAAACACAAGUUAUUUCUGCCUCUUGGCUUCCGAGGGGCUGUGAAACAGUGAUGGGGCCACAGCAUCUGACUCCAUCACCUGCCUCCUACAGAAUCCUCACCACCGACGGGCUUAUUGACGUCAUAAAGCGACGACGCUACUAUUAGAAGCCUUGCCGCCGCCGCCAGAGGGAGAGCUAUGAAACAUGCUGGAGGAUCUACAACAUGGAAAUGGCUCGAAAGAUUAACUUCUUGGUGCGAAAGAACCGUGCAGACCCAUGGCUGGGCUGCUAAGGCUUGAGCCCACAUUGUUUCUACGUCCAACUCCUUUUUUUAUGCAACCCAUUUCUGUUACUUUUCUCCACAAUAAACUCAAUCACAGGUGAACAAGAAAAAAAGAUUAGAACAUGUCGCUUGCCGUAGCUAUUUCUGUACCAUGAUCACUGUCAGUAUAUUUGGGAGGAUGACACAGCCAUCCUGAUUUUCAAAGUUUCUAACAGGACUCUGUCCGUGAGAAAUACUAAAUGACCCAUAUGAAAAUGAAGUCAGUUUUACUGUUUUCAGGGUGUGGAAGAACAGCAUAUGUAUUCCAAAACCACAGCAAGUGAAAAAUAUACCUGCCUACUUCUCCCACCACAGAUGUGCAGCAGAAAGAGAAUAGGAACCGUGAGAACAAAGCAACAAAGAUCAAGAAUGGAGAAAGAAAAGCAGCAACUGACAGCAUUGUUACCACAGAAGACCACAGUUUUCACCAGAAGAGUAUGGUAGCCAGCAUAGGUGUGAAAACAGUCCUCCUAGACCUUCAUCUUCGGAAUAAUAUUUAAUUACUGUGGAUUCGACUCCAAGUGUGCCAAGUUUCUAAAUUCUCAAGGUCAGAAAAUAAAUCUGGAAGAUAUAAAAAAAA